rnacentral:rRNA from 1 species
CAAUAGCGUAUAUUUAAGUUGUUGCAGUUAAAAAGCUCGUAGUUGGAUUUCGGUUAAGAGCGACCGGUCCGCCGUUUGGUGUGCACUGGUUGGUUUUAACUUCCUGUAGAGGACGUGCUCUGGGUUUAACGACCUGGGCUCGGAGUCUACGUGGUUACUUUGAAAAAAUUAGAGUGUUCAAAGCGGGCUUACGCUUGAAUAUUUCAGCAUGGAAUAACACUAUAGGACUCCUGUCCUAUUUCGUUGGUCUCGGGACGGGAGUAAUGAUUAAGAGGAACAGUUGGGGGCAUUCGUAUUUCAUUGUCAGAGGUGAAAUUCUUGGAUUUAUGAAAGACGAACUUCUGCGAAAGCAUUUGCCAAGGAUGUUUNCAUUAA